CCCCAUUUCGAUACAGGUGCAUGAUAAUGGUCCAUUCUAAAUCAAAACUAAUUUGACACACAUAUAAUUUAGUAUAUGUAAAGACAAGAUUAAAUUAAGAAUAGUGUGAUGGGUGACAAUAUUAGCCUAUCACUUGUGGAUUAUGUAUUAUCACAUGCGAAUGACGCCCAGCUUGUGCAGUAAGGCGAGGAAUAACUCAUGCGUUUUUUUGCGACUUCUUCAAAUCGUAGGUCGCACACCGUAUGUAGCCCAGCCCAUAGGCCUAUAUGUUUUGAUAAGUUUUUUAUCACAACUAAAGUGGCCAAAUAACUCCUUAAAACGAAGCACAGGGAGCGCAGGUAGUCUAGUGGUUAGAGUGUAGGGGCGGCAGGUAGCCUAGUGGUUAGAGCGUAGGGGCGGCAGGUAGCCUAGUGGUUAGAGCGUAGGGGCGGCAGGUAGCCUAGUGGUUAGAGCGUAGGGGCAGCAGGUAGCCUAGUGGUUAAAGUGUAGGGGCGGCAGGUAGCCUGGUGGUUAGAGCGUAGGGGCGGCAGGUAGCCUGGUGGUUAGAGCGUAGGGGCGGCAGGUAGCCUGGUGGUUAGAGCGUAGGGGCGGCAGGUAGCCUAGUGGUUAGAGUGUAGGGCGGCAGGUAGCCUAGUGGUUAGAGUGUAGGGGCGGCAGGUAGCCUAGUGGUUAAAGC
ensembl:lncRNA